UACGAAGGGGGCUAGCGUUGUUCGGAAUUACUGGGCGUAAAGGGCGCGUAGGCGGUGAUCUUUGUCAGAGGUGAAAGCCCGGGGCUCAACUCCGGAAUUGGCCUUUGAAACGGGAUUGCUUGAGUCCGAGAGAGGAUGGCGGAAUUCCUAGUGUAGAGGUGAAAUUCGUAGAUAUUAGGAAGAACACCGGUGGCGAAGGCGGCCAUCUGGCUCGGUACUGACGCUGAUGCGCGAAAGCG
rnacentral:rRNA from 1 species